UUGAAAAGAACUUUGAAGAGAGAGUUCAAGAGUACGUGAAACCGUUCAGGGGUAAACCUAAGAAACCCAAAAGAUCGAACGGGGAGAUUCAUCGUCAGCGACGCUGGCUUCGCGUCGGUGGGCGAUGUCCCGCGGGGCCUCGCGGCUCGCGCGCGGGCACGCUGCCGUGCGUCGAUGUCCGGCGUUCGUCGUCGUGCACUUCUCCCCUAGUAGAACGUCGCGACCCGCUGGGUGUCGGUCUACGGCCCGGGUGCGGUGACUGACGCGUCGCCGGUAAAACGGCACGCGUCAAACCCCCGGUCGCCCGGCCGGCUGCCCGGCGGUACACGCAAGGUAUCAGGCCGCAGCUCUCGAUCUAAAACUCCCGAGCCUGUGCGUCGAGGCCGUCGCAAGCGCGCGCCACGGUACACGGAGGCUAACGGACCUAGUGCCGUCACCGGUCCUGGCCCGCUGCUGGCUCGUACGGUUAACCUUCGACAGGCCCGCAAACGCGGCCCUCGGGUCCGCGCGUCGGCGCGCGCGGGGACCGCGAUACCGGUCGGCGACGCUACUGCUUUGGGUACUCUUAGGACCCGUCUUGAAACACGGACCAAGGAGUCUAACAUGUACGCGAGUCAUUGGGACUAGCGACACCUAAAGGCGCAAUGAAAGUGAAGGUCGGCCCUGGUUGUCGACCGAGGGAGGAUGGGCCGCGUCGCGACGCGGCUCCGCACUCCCGGGGCGUCUCGUUCUCAUCGCGAGAAGAGGCGCACCCAGAGCGUACACGUUGGGACCCGAAAGAUGGUGAACUAUGCCUGGUCAGGACGAAGUCAGGGGAAACCCUGAUGGAGGUCCGUAGCGAUUCUGACGUGCAAAUCGAUCGUCGGAACUGGGUAUAGGGGCGAAAGACUAAUCGAACCAUCUAGUAGCUGGUUCCCUCCGAAGUUUCCCUCAGGAUAGCUGGCACUCGGCCGUUCCCGCACGGAACGCGAGCGAGUCUCAUCUGGUAAAGCGAAUGAUUAGAGGCCUUGGGGCCGAAACGACCUCAACCUAUUCUCAAACUUUAAAUGGGUGAGAUCUCUGGCUUUCUUGAACUGUGAAGCCACGAGCAUCUCGGAUCAGAGUGCCAAGUGGGCCAUUUUUGGUAAGCAGAACUGGCGCUGUGGGAUGAACCAAACGCAGAGUUAAGGCGCCCAACUCGACGCUCAUGGGACACCAUGAAAGGCGUUGGUUGCUUAAGACAGCAGGACGGUGGCCAUGGAAGUCGGAAUCCGCUAAGGAGUGUGUAACAACUCACCUGCCGAAGCAACUAGCCCUGAAAAUGGAUGGCGCUGAAGCGUCGAGCCUAUACUCUGCCGUCAGCGGCAAGUGGGGCGGCCGUGCGCGCCACCAAGCGCGUACGCGCCGUCACGAGGCCCUGACGAGUAGGAGGGUCGCGGCGGUGUGCGCAGAAGGGUCU
rnacentral:rRNA from 1 species